GGAAGGAUCAUUACCGAAUUGUCGACACGAGUUGUUGCUGGCCCUCGAAGGGGGGCACGUGCACGCUCUGUUUACACAUCCACUCACACCUGUGCACCCUCUGUGGUUCUAUGGCCUGGGGGACACCGUCCUCUUGCUGUGGUCCUACGUUUUUACACACACACUGUAACAAAGUCUUAUGGAAUGCAUGUCGCGUUUAACGCAAUACAAUACAACUUUCAGCAACGGAUCUCUUGGCUCUCGCAUCGAUGAAGAACGCAGCGAAAUGCGAUAAGUAAUGUGAAUUGCAGAAUUCAGUGAAUCAUCGAAUCUUUGAACGCACCUUGCGCCCUUUGGCUAUUCUGAAGGGCAUGCCUGUUUGAGUAUCAUGAACACCUCAACUCUCAUGGUUUGCCAUGAUGAGCUUGGACUUUGGGGGUCUUGCUGGCCUAUGGUCGGCUCCUCUUAAAUGAAUCAGCUUGCCAGUGUUUGGUGGCGUCACAGGUGUGAUAACUAUCUACGCUUGUGGUUUUCCACCAGGUAACCUUCAGUGAUGGAGGUUCGCUGGGGCUCACAAAUGUCUCUCCUCAGCGAGGACAGCUUUUUAACGUUUGAUCUCAAAUCAGGUAGGACUACCCGCUGAACUUAAGCAUAUCAAUAAGCGGAGGAAAAGAAACUAACAAGGAUUCCCCUAGUAACUGCGAGUGAAGCGGGAAGAGCUCAAAUUUAAAAUCUGG
rnacentral:rRNA from 1 species